CUCAAUGGCUUCUUUGUGCGCUGGAUCUAAUGCAUCUGGAUCUCUUAACAAGUUUGUUAUAGCAGGGAUGAGGAAUUCCCGCACACUAUUUGCUGAAAGAUCUGCAGUAAUUAUAAGUAGAAAUGAGAAAUACUUCUAUGAAAAUCAUCCAUCAAGCCCUUGAGGAUGGCAAAUCUAGCAAACCAAUGAGAUUGUUUAGGUGGUAACAUGAACCUGUAGCAUCCAAGGCACGAAUUGCUUCACAGAAUGCAUUAGCCCUCUCACGGCGACGCAUGAUAUCAUUUGCAGAAGCUGGUGCCGCUGUAAAGUGAAAAAUCUUGGAAAGAAGGUGUAUGUAAUGUUAACGAAACAAUUUAUCUAUUCAUUAAAACCUAUAGACUGUUGAUAUAGGGAGGGGCUAAAGUAGAACAACUGAAAUUCUCUAAUUCAAUAAAACAAUCAUAAAAUUAAAUUAUCCAGAAAUGUUUAGGAUAUAAUCUCUAAGUUUCUCUGUUGUGUGAGGUACUGCUACCAGCAACCCACGGAUAACAGCAACAAAAGCUUCAUGGGAUCCAUCUUCAAGAAAAGCAUCCAUUUGAACAAGAAUUUUAUCAACUAUCUGAAACAUAACAAGUAUGAUGAGUGAAACCUAUGAACUGAUCCCUAAAGACUGCCAGUAUCACUUUAGGAGAAAAACACAUAUACCAUCUCAUUUUUGAAAUGUUGUGCUACAGCUCCAAAUGCAUCUAUGGUGGCAUACUUCACAUUCAGGUUUUGAUCAGAGCCAAGAGUAACUAGAGCAGGCAAAACAUGGAUAGAAACAACUUUUGCAUCAAAGUGUGCUACCUGUUAAAGAAUGAAGUUAAAAUUUCAAAAUAAUGUUAGGUGAAGUUUGAAAAUUCAAACAAUAAGUUGCCCUUCAAAUGAUGUGCAAACAAGCAAUAACCAACUCACUAUGACUUUUAAUAGAUUGAUAGUAUUGAUUCUCAUAUCUACGUUGGAGCUAACAACCAUUUCCCAUAAAAUAUUGAAUAUCAUACUAUGGUGAUGUUCAAUGGUGC